rnacentral:rRNA from 1 species
CUGGGCUACACACGUGCUACAAUGGCCGGUACAGACGGACGCAAAGCCGCGAGGUGGAGCAAAUCCUAAAAAGACCGGUCUCAGUUCGGAUUGCUAGGCUGCAAUUCGCCUGCAUGAAGUCGGAAUCGCUAGUAAUCGCAGGUCAGCAUACUGCGGUGAAUACGUUCCCGGGCCUU